AAAUAAGACUUCAUGUCAUUGCCUUAAAUGCUUUCUUUUUAGUUUUUCAACAACAGAACAAGCACUUUGGGGAAAUGGACUCAUUAUUUCUUUGUUGGAAGUAAUGGAAGAAUCUGAAAAAUGCCCGGAUCUGCUCUGCUAAGUGGUGAUAAGGGCACUAUUUUCCAAGAACAUCCUGCACCUAAUCAAUAGUUUGCUGUUCACGACUCCUCCAGCACCGGCUUGGUCUCUCUGGUAUUCUGCCUGCAACAUGCAGUUUAAUCUCCUCAAAAGAUGUGAGUGCCUGAAAAUCUUUAGUUUUUCUAAAGCCUUUGGACUUAAUGUAAGAUACCAUCAUGAAAUUUAAUGGCCU
rnacentral:lncRNA from 1 species